GACGAACGCUGGCGGCGUGCUUAACACAUGCAAGUCGAACGGAAAGGCCCUGCUUUUGUGGGGUGCUCGAGUGGCGAACGGGUGAGUAACACGUGAGUAACCUGCCCUUGACUUUGGGAUAACUUCAGGAAACUGGGGCUAAUACCGGAUAGGAGCUCCUGCUGCAUGGUGGGGGUUGGAAAGUUUCGGCGGUUGGGGAUGGACUCGCGGCUUAUCAGCUUGUUGGGGGGGUAGUGGCUUACCAAGGCUUUGACGGGUAGCCGGCCUGAGGGGGUGACCGGCCACGUUGGGACUGAGAUGCGGCCCAGACUACUACGGGACGCAGCGGUGGAGAAUAUUACACAAUGGGCGGAAGCCUGAUGCAACAACGCCGCGUGCGGGAAGACGACCUGCAGGUUGGAAACCGCUUUCGCAUGAGAAGAAGCGUGAGUGACGGUAAUGGGUAAAGAAGCACCGGCUAACUACGUG
rnacentral:rRNA from 1 species